rnacentral:rRNA from 1 species
AUUGAACGCUGGCGGCAUGCUUUACACAUGCAAGUCGAACGGCAGCGCGGGCUUCGGCCUGGCGGCGAGUGGCGAACGGGUGAGUAAUGCAUCGGAACGUGCCCAGUAGUGGGGGAUAGCCCGUCGAAAGCCGGAUUAAUACCGCAUACGACCUGAGGGUGAAAGCGGGGGACCGAAAGGCCUCGCGCUCUUGGAGCGGCCGAUGUCGGAUUUGCUAGUUGGUGGGGUAAAGGCUUACCAAGGCGACGAUCCGUAGCUGGUCUGAGAGGACGACCAGCCACACUGGGACUGAGACACGGCCCAGACUCCUACGGGAGGCAGCAGUGGGGAAUUUUGGACAAUGGGGGCAAACCUGAUCCAGCCAUGCCGCGUGCGGGAAGAAGGCCUUCGGGUUGUAAACCGCUUUUGUUCGGGAAGAAAUGCUCUGGGCUAAUACCCCGGGGGGAUGACGGUACCGGAAGAAUAAGCACCGGCUAACUACGUG